rnacentral:lncRNA from 1 species
ACGUUGAUGGGUGCCUCAGACUGCUGCUCAGCCAUUAUAACCUACACAUGCUCAAAACAACCAUAAUUACUACAAAGAAUUGACAAACCAUCUUCUCGCAGUGGACAGUAAAGUGCAGAAAAGAAUCAAUAUGUACAGAAAUAAUAUCAUCCAACAAAGUAAAGUAAAGUGCAGAAAAGAAUCAAUAUGUAUCACAAUUCAUAGAUGCAUAUAGCUUAAUGAUGUGUACAGAAAUACAUGUCCUCAUAAAAAUUAUUUCUGCACCAUAUAAUUGUAAGGUGAGACAAAAAGAAUGUGCAGUGCAACCAAUUGAAGGAAAAAAAUGGUUCCAAGUAAACCUCUGCAGGUUUCUUUCAGUUCUGCUAAAACUAGUUAUCUUAACAGUAAAAUUCUCAAAUAUAUGUAAUCAAAAAGAUUGGCAAAAGUUUGAUUCAAGUAGAAUUUUAGGAAGCAUUGUACUACAAAAACAUCAUACAAGUUGUUUCCCUAAUAGCAUGGGAAGGACCAAACAGAAAGUAAUUCUAUGAGUCGUACGAGAUGCACAACUAGCAGAAUCCUAAAAGAACACUUGCACCUAUAUACUGUAUACAGAUCUCAGAUCUCAGAAAACUCAAAUCAGAUAUGUACUAGUGUAACUGUGUAAGUAGUAUAGUACUAUAGUGUAUAUGAUGUGUACAGAACUACAGAUCUAACGACUUACCGUCGUUGUUGGCGCUAGUCGGUUACGUGUUGCGUGAUCGGCGGCCGGCGCUAGCUGAGAUUUGAGAGAAGGCAGGCCGGCACUCGGCAGGGUGAGCUUUAAUGGAGGAGAAAUCAUUAGUGAAGAACGGGUAGAACCGUAGAAGACUGAAGAAGAAGGGACUAGGGAGAGUGAAGACUAAAACUGAAAGAGUAAAGUAGGCAAGUAGCUCUGUAGAAUUAUAAGAGAGAGAGUAAAUAAAUUACUUUAAGUAUUUAUUAGAGAGUUUUGGUUUUUUUUUCGGUUUUUCGGUUUUAUCGAAUUCAAAAUUUUCAUUACCGGUACCGAAAAGUACAAAAAACCAAAAAACCGAUACCGAAAAAAAUGAAACCAAAAAAAAUCGGUACCGGUUUCAACCGGUUCGAUAAAAAAACCGAAAAACUGAAUUUUUUGAGCACCCCCAGUACCUCGUGAAUAUUACCGUAUGAAUAGUACCAUAUGUAUGAAUAGUAUCCAUAAAUAAUACUCCGGCAUGAAAAGCUUAAAAUUUAACAAGAAUUUUCAUAUAACAAUCUCCAACGUUCAAUUAGUCACAUGACUCAUUUACAAUCAUCUAACUGUCAAUCAACUAUGCGAUAAUGGUUUUAAAAUAUCUUUCAGUAUACAAAUUGCUCCAUAUUCGAUCAAACUAUUAAAUUGAUUUUAUUGCGUCCUAGAUGUGACGCCCCCAAAAUAGGUACACACAACCCAUUUUGAGUUGCCAAAUACAUGGUACAAAAUUUAAAUACAUCUUCAUUUAUACAACUAUUGAACUGUCGUGCAAAAUACGACAAAGCAUAAACUGUGAGUUUUAACACAAAUAUUGUCUCGUAAACAAUAUCCAAACUCAAAUGCAGUCCUCAUUAUAAUUAUUAUCACACUAUUUCAUAGAAUAGUGAGAACUACUAUAGCCACCAUCUUGGACCAUCACUCCAUUUGUGACAACCGUAAUUUUGUAAAUUAAUUUUAAUAUUUAUUGGAUUGAAUAAAUAUUUUUCGAUGAAUUAAUUAUUAGAUUAAUUAAUUAAUUGAUGAAGUGGUGAUAGAUUAAUUUAAUUAUAUGUGUUAUAUUUAUUAAAUUAAUGUGGAGAAUUUUUAUUAUUCGAAGUAUGUGAUUAUGUGAGCUUAUUGAAUUAAAAGAAAUAUUUAAUAAGCCUAUGUUAUUUUAAUUAAUUUAAUCAUUAAUUAGAGACUUAAUAAUUUGAUAUUAUUAAUCAAGAGAAUUUGAAUUAUGUGACUAUGUGUAUUAAUGAGAAUUUACUAUAUUUUAAUUAAAAUAAAUUAAUUUAGAUAAUUGAUUUAUUUUAUAUGGAUGUGACAUUAUUAAACUAUAUAAUAAAGCUUUAUUAAAUUAAAUGAUUUUUAAAACUUAUUCUAUCUAGCCAAACAUGGUACUAUGGGAAGUUGAGGACAGAUACCCAUGACUGGGUAACUGACCACCAACGCGUCAGUUGAUUUCUAUAUUAUAUACGUCUUCCUUUCUUUUUCUUUCAUUUUUUUCUAAGUCUAAUAUUAAGCAGAGAGAGAUACAAGAGAGAGUUGAGAAUUCAGAGUUUUGGUGGAGGAGGAAUUCACUUCCUAGUAAAUUAAUCUACGUUUGGGUAAUCUCUUCAACCCAAUUUAUAUAUUUUACGUCUUUUAAAGUUUUCAUGAAUAUGGUUUUAUUCAUUCUGUAAUUCUCUGAAAUUGGAAAAUUCUGUUGUUAUGUGAAUAUAUGUAAUAAUUCGAAUUGUAAGGCAUGUUUUAUAUAUAUAUAUAUUGUGUGUUUCCAUAUCAUUAAUUUCAUAAGAUUACAACGUAGAAUUAUGGCUUGUUAUUUUAAAAAUUUGCAGAGUACGUGAUAUGGCCAUAUGGCCUUAUACGUGAUUUUUAUAUGCCAAACAUAAAUUAUUUUACAAAAUUCACACAUUGAUAUGAUUAUGCAUGUUAAAAUGAACAAAAUUAAACUUGAAUGGUUGGAUUUGGCUUUAUAACGAACCCGUAGCAUUAAAAUCCAUGUUUUUGUUCAAGAACUUCAAGCACAUCAAGAACAGUCCAAUUUGCAUGUUUUAAUUCUAUGAUUAUGUGUUUUAAUGGGUGAAAAACACUCCAUAGAUGUUAAGUAUUGAUUAUGUACGAAUUAUAACAUAUAGGUAUUUGUAAUUUGGUGAAAUUAGUGUUAAGAAGUGUUGAUUUUGUUGAAUUAUGUGUUCUUUGCAAACUGGAAAUUCAGAGUCUAGGGUUUCGCGCCGCGGCGCCAACUCCCAGUUCAUUUCUCGCACCGCAGCACCACCGUGCCGCAGCGCCAAGUAUCAGGCCGCAGUGCCACGGCGCCGCAGCGCCAAGACUCAGUACAAAAGUGGCGCCGCAGCGCCACUUAGCAGAAUGGUCAUAAAUGAGUUUUUAAAAGUGUACAAGUAUGGAAAUAUGAUAGCAACUUAGUCUAAUGAUUAUAAAAACUUGUUAGACUUAUAAUGAGAUGUUAAAAUAAAUUCUUAACAUGUCCAUAACACAAUUACGUGUGGAUUGAAUGAUCGAAUGCAUAAUUAGUUUAUUUUUCGUGAAGUCUUAAUUUUACACUAAGUAUAAUAAUUGACUAAGUAUAGUCAUGAAGUCGAGAUUAGACAAAGAAUAACUUAUGAUGUUUAGUACAUUAUUAUUGACUGGUAUUGUGAACGUAAUUGAUAUGUAGGAUUUAAUUCAAAUAACAAGUUUUAUUAACGUGUAAUCUACGCACGAGGCAAGUUUCUUACCCUAAGCUUUCGUUGAGCAAGUUUCCUAACCCUACUUGUUAUUGUUAUAUAAGUUGAAUAAUUCAUCUUUCUACAUUGAGCAAGUUAUCAUUAUUAUUGAUCAAGCCUGUCUUGUAUAUUAAAGUUUAUUAAUCUUCAAGCAUGAUGUUGUUAUACAAUAAUUAUUCUAUUGUAUACCUUUUGAGAUGUUAUUCAAGUUAAAUAUUCAUUUACUGUUAAACCUUGUUAGACUAGCGAACCCUUAUUGAUUCGACUAGUCCAUAGUUGAUGAGCGUUCUAAAUUUCAGAACCCCUUGAUGAAUUAUCCAAACCAAACUUCCUUUGGUGCGGACUCGAAUGUCAAACUGAGAUGAACAACCCUGUAUAGGGGAUUAUUUACGCUUUAGCGUUAAGAUAUUGUGCACAGUAUGGUACUAAGGGCUGAUCCCCCUAAGUACGAGAAGAAGAGUCCAUAGUCUUAUGACUGUUAAAGGUUUCAAGUAAAAACACUUGACAACCUAGGACAUAGUUCAAGGUCUUAUGACCCUCAGAAUUUCUUUUGAUUCUUGUUAUUCAUUCUUGAUUCAAAAGUUGAGCUUUAUAUCAGAAGUUAUUAUUUCUCUCGCAUGUUAUUAUUCAUUAUUAUAUUGUUAUACUUGUGGGCAAUCGUGCUCACUCUUGCAUAAUAAUAACAUUAUAGUUAAGAACGAAAGAGCAGACGAACCUUCCACUAGUAAGGGCAAGGGCAAGCUUGGCAAGUAAUGAAGACUGUUUAAUUAAUGUGGUUAUGUGAUGUAAUUAGAAUCGAUGUUACUAAGACUUAUUUGUUUAUGUUUUCCGCACAGAUGUUUUAAGGUUAGAGUAACCUGGGAUUUAUUUAUUAUUCAGUUGAUGUAACCCUAUAAGGGGAGAGUUUUAUUAUUUAUUCUAUCUAUUGCAUGGUUUGAAAUUUAUUUAUGGGUAGAUAGAUAGAUGAUGCUUGUACAGUGAACACCAAAUCCUGUGAAAAUGGAAGUACCAGAUUUGGGGGUGUCACAGGUUAGUAUCAAAGUUGUAAGAUUAUGAACCUUAGGUAGGGGGAACAACCUUAGGUAGUAGCCUUGUAGGAGAUUGAGAACAUAGUAGUGGUAAACUCUUAUCGAGUUCUAAGAAAUGAAUUUUUAAAUUCAUUAAAGAUAAUAAAAGACUUUAUGUGCUUAUAUGUUAAUCUAUGUGUUCGUUAGCAUGGAUUAGUAACUAAAACUUAAAAUUUUGUUGUCAGGAUGUCGGAUGUUGGAGGAGCUAGUCGAGUUGGGGAGGAGGAACCCCGAUUACCUAUAGAGGAGGAGCCCCGAGACAUUCAUGUCGUCAGGGAACAGCUUGUACAGAGAGAGAGCCAUCUCCGUUGAUCACUGUUGCUGGUUAGGAGCAUGAGCCGGAGACUGAUCCAGAGGAGGAUCCUGAGGAAGAGGAAGAAGAAGAGGAAGAAGAGGAGUUUCCACCAAACUCCAUUGAUGCUGAGAUGUACGAUGCACUCUAUGAUCGUAACGUAGAGUUGCAGGAUACUGUUCGGAAUCUGACUGAGCAGGCGGUUAGUCAGCAGAUUACUAUUGAGCAGAAGGAUAGAGAGAUUGUGACUCUUCACACACGUUUAGGAAACGUGGAGUGGGAUCUGGUUCACGAGAAGGGUCAGACCGAGGAUAAGUCCGCAGAAAUAGAGAAGUUAAAGAAGGAUCUGAAGGAGAGCUCAGAGAGGCUUGCCAUAGCAGAGGAGGGCUGGGUACGAGAGUCACGUCGUUCUGAUCGUGCAGAAGAUGAUCGUCGUGAGAAAAAGGCUAAACUUGAGGAGACGUACUCUACACUACAAAAUGCAAUGGAUGCGGUCCAAGAUCGAGUCAGGAAGUAUCCAAUCCAGUUUGAGGAUCUACCAUCAUAUAUGCUAGAUCGUAGAACGAUGUGCUGCAUCAUGGAGGAGGAACGUAGCAAGGCUAUCCAGCGCCUUAAUAGACAGUGAUAGUAUUAGUAUAAUAUGUGAAAACUAUUUGAUAGUUAAUGAUGUAAAUUCGUAUAUGUUCAUAAUAAAGGAAUAUUAUGAUGUUUUAAAUCCUGUAGAUUCUUUAUCUCGGGAUAGUUGAUGUAAAUAGCAGUGAUGCUAUCUUAUGAUGUAAAGACUUUUGAAUUAAAUGAAAUGUCAAAGUUUAUUUGAAGUAAUGUGUUAAGUGAGUUAUGAUUAAAUGUUUAGUUAAGUCUUAAAUGUUUUAGAGAUUGAAUAAAGAUCUAAUAAGCGUAUAUUCUUAACAGAAAUAUGCCGCCUAGAAGACAAAAUCGUCAGCAAGCCCUGGAAGGGUCAACAAACAAUAACAACGACGCCAAUGCUAACUCCGUUCAUCAAUUGGUGAACCUUUUAGCUGGAGCACUUAAUAAUCAACCUCAAGCUCCACCAAAUACUUCGUUUAAGGACUUCAAGGCGGUGGGACCACCAGAGUUUAAGGGUUCUAUAAACCCAAUCGAAGCUCAAACGUGGGUAAUGGAUAUGGAGAAGGUGUUUGAUGUUGCUAGGGUAAGGGAAGAUCAGAAGACUGCUUAUGCAAUGUUUAUGCUAAAGUCCGAAGCCAGCUAUUGGUGGCAGGCAAACAAGGUGAGGGGAGGUGAAGGUGUAAUAUCCUGGAAAAGAUUCAAAGAGAUGUUCUUCGAGAUGUACUUUCCGACAAGUUCACAAAAUCAGAUAGAAGCCCAGUUUUUAGAGUUGAAGCAGGGAAGUAUGUCAGUAGCUGAUUACGCGGCAAGGUUUAAAUAGUUGGCUAGGUUCGCCACAUACCAAGUGCACACUGAUGAGAGGAAGGCAAGACGAUUUGAGCAGGGACUGAAGCCCUGGUUGUAUAGCAAAGUGUCAAUGUUCCAAUUGAACACUUUUGCUGGGGUGUUAGAGAAGGCCAUACUUGCUGAGGGUGGAAGUGAUGCAGUAACGAAGUAUAAUCAGGAGCAGAAGAAGAAGAAGAAGAGUGAGAAGGAAGGUAAUAACAAGACUGGUGGGAGUAGCACUGGGGGUAAUCACAAUCUGAAGAGGAAGUGGUCUGAAAAUUCGUCGUCUGGAAGUCAACAGGGAGGGCAGAAGAAGAAGAUUGAACCGUGCCCAACCUGCGGAAAAACUCAUUUGGGAGUUUGCUUAAAAGGGAAAGGAGUGUACUACAAUUAUGGUCAGGAAGGCCACAUAGCACCAAACUGUCCGAACCCAAAGAAGGGUGUCUGCUUCACAUGUGGAUCAAAGGACCAUCUUGCAAGAGAUUGUCCUAAGAAGGGAUCGGAAGGGAUGAGUUCAGGAGGAAACAGAGGAAAUACUGGUGAAAGCACUCUAACCAUUGCUGGACAACCCGCAACUAAUAGACCAACAGCCAGAACGUUCAACGUGACAGUACAGGACGCGGUACAGUCUCGCGAUGUGGUGUCAGGUAUCAUUCCGAUCAAUAAAGUUAAUGCUUAUGUGUUAUUUGAUUCGGGUGCUACUUGCUCAUUUAUAUCCGAUGACUUCGCUAAGAACUUAGAAUUGUUUAAGGACGAGUUAGAAUACCCCAUGAACAUAAAAAUUGCGAAUAGAGAAAUUAUCUCUGUUAAGUAUGUGCACAAGAACUGUAGAAUAGAUAUUAUGGGUAAUAUCAUGAACGUAGAUCUUAUCCCUGUUCGACUUGGAGAAUUUGAUGUUAUUUUGGGUAUGGAUUGGUUAUCUAAUUUUGGGGCGGUAAUUAACUGCCAGAAGAAGCGUAUUAACCUUAUGACUCCGUCAAAGGUUGUGUUUUAUGGUAGCAAGUCGCCUAGACAAGCGAGUUGUCUGACGAUGAUGCAGGCCAGGAGAUUGUUAAGACAAGGCUGUGUAUAUCUAGCUUACAUAGUCGAUAGUCGUAAAGAGAAUCUGAAAAUUUAUGAGAUUCCAGUAGUGAGAGAUUUCGCAGACGUAUUUCCAGAUGAUUUGUCGGGACUUCCUCCAGAUAGAGCAGUUGAAUUCGUUAUCGAUUUGGCUCCAGGAACGGUCCCAAUAUCAAAGGCACCGUACCGAAUGGCACCGAUAGAGAUGAAAGAACUGAUGGUCCAACUACAAGAAUUACUAGACAAAAAGUAUAUUCAACCAAGCGUAUCACCGUGGGGAGCACCGAUUUUAUUUGUGAAGAAGAAGGAUGGACCAAUGCGACUCUGCAUAGACUACAGAGAACUGAAUAAGGUCACGAUUAAGAAUAUGUAUCCAUUACCGCGAAUCAACGACUUGUUCGAUCAGUUAAAGGUAGCAAGAUAUUUUUCAAAGAUAGAUUUGAGAAGUGGUUAUCAUCAACUGAAGGUGAGACCAGAGGAUGUACCGAAGACAGCAUUUAGAACACGAUACGGUCACUACGAAUUUCUGGUAAUGUCAUUUGGUCUAACGAAUUCUCCUGCAGCAUUUAUGGGCUUAAUGAAUGGAGUGUUCAAGCCAUUUUUGGACAAAUUCGUAGUGGUAUUUAUAGAUGACAUUUUGGUAUAUUCAAAACCAAGGAAGAACACGAAGAGCAUUUGAGGUUGACAUUAGAGACAUUGAGAAGAGAGAAGUUGUAUGCUAUGUUUUUGAAAUGUGAAUUCUGAAUUGAAAGAGUACAAUUUCUUGGACAUGUGAUUGAUAAAGACGGAAUUUCGGUGGAUCCCUCCAAAGUCGAAGUUGUGAUUAACUGUGACCAGCCGAAUACACCGUCAGAAGUAAGAAGUUUUCUUGGAUUGGCAGGUUAUUACAGAAGAUUCAUUCAGGACUUUUCCAAGAUCGCAACUCCGCUGACGAAUUUGACUAGGAAAUCUGUGAAAUUCGUUUGGACGGUGAAGUGUGAGGAAAGCUUUCAAGAAUUAAAGAAGAGGUUGAGUACAACACCUGUGUUAUCUCUUCCGGAUGACACAGAAAAUUUUGUGGUUUAUAGUGAUGCAUCCCAUAAAGGACUUGGUUGUGUGCUUAUGCAGAAUGGCAGAGUCAUUACAUAUGCGUCGCGACAACUGAAAGAUUAUGAGAAGGGGUAUCCGACCCAUGACUUGGAGUUAGCUGCAGUGGUUUUUGCUUUGAAAAUCUGGAGGCGUUAUCUCUAUGGGGAGAAGUGUGAAAUAUAUACAGACCACAAGAGUCUGAAAUAUAUUUUUACACAAAAAGACUUGAACAUGCGUCAAAGAAGGUGGUUGGAAUUAAUUAAGGACUACGAUUGUGAGAUUCUAUACCAUCCGGGUAAGGCAAAUGUGGUGGCCGACGCCCUAAGUAGAAAAGGUUGGGAGAAAUUGAUGAUGUUGACCGCUCAGGAGGAGAUAGUUUUAGCAAUGGAAAAGCUGGAAUUGGAAGUGAAGUAUCCUAUGGAAAUUGACGAGAAGUUGUUCCAGAUGCAAGCUGGUACAACCUUACUGGAUAAAGUUAAGGAGGCUCAACUUCAGGACGAAGAAUGUGAGAAAGUGAAGAAGAAGAUAUCUGAAGGGACUGAACCGAGAUUCAAAAUAGACAGUGAGGGACUACUAAGAUUUGAGAGCAGAAUUUGGGUACCGCCAGUACCAGAGAUUAAGGAAGAAAUUUUGAGCGAGGCUCACAACUCAAGAUAUUCGAUUCACCCUGGUAGCACCAAGAUGUACCAAGAUCUUCGACAACACUUUUGGUGGCCAAAUUUAAAACGAGAGGUUGCAGAAUGUGUUGCCAAAUGCCUGUCAUGUCAGAAAGUGAAAGCAGAACAUCAAAGACCGAGUGGGUUGCUACAACCUUUAGAGAUUUUAAAAUGGAAAUGGGAACAUAUUAUGAUGGAUUUCGUGGUUGGCCUACCAACGACUCAGAAAGGCUACGAUGCAGUAUGGGUUAUUGUUGACCGAUUGACAAAAUCUGCACACUCCUUCCGAUCAAAAUCAGAUUCAACCUAGAUCAGUUAGCAAGGUUAUAUGUGAAAGAGAUUGUUUCAAGGCACGGAGUUCCGGUGUCAAUUGUUUCUGAUAGAGAUCCGCGUUUUACGUCGAACUUCUAGAAACGUCUACAGGAAUGCAUGGGUACACAGUUGCGAAUGAGCAUAGCAUAUCACCCUCAGACAGAUGGACAGAGUGAAAGAACAAUCCAGACAUUGGAAGAUAUGUUAAGAGCUUGUAUAAUGGAUUUCAAAGGAAAUUGAGAUGAUCAUUUACCGCUCGUAGAGUUCGACUACAACAACAGUUACCACGCUAGUAUUGGCAUGCCACCUUAUGAAGCGUUAUACGGCAGAAAGUGCAGAACUCCAUUAUAUUGGGAUGAAGUUGGCGAAAGACAACUACUAGGCCCGGAAUUGGUACAACAAACAGCAGAAAUAGUCAAAGUGAUCCGAGCAAGAUUGAUAGCAGCCCAAGACAGACAGAAGAAAUAUGUCGAUCCACACCGUAAGAAUGUUGAGUUCGAACCAGGUAGUUAUAUGUUUUUAAAGGUCUCUCCCUGGAAAGGAAAGAUCAGAUUCGGAAAGAAAGGGAAAUUGAGCCCAAGAUUCAUUGGACCCUUUGAAGUUCUGAGAAGAGUCGGAGAAGUUGCCUAUGAGGUAGCCUUACCUCCAUCUCUAGAGAAUGUCCACAAUGUUUUCCAUGUCUCAGUCCUACGACCCUACAAACCCGAUUACAAGCACGUGAUUGAAUAUGAAUCCCUACAUUUUGACAAAGACUUGUCUUACGAAGAAAUUCCUGUUCAAAUUGUCGACCGAAAAGAACAAGUUCUGAGAAAUAAAGUAAUACCUUCUGUUAAGGUAAUUUGGAGGAACCACAACGCUGGAGAAGCUACGUGGGAACUCGAAGAGAAUAUAAUGAAGAAUUAUCCUCAUUUAUUUACUUAGAUUGUUAUAUGCGAUUCUGAGGACAGAAUCUUUGUAAGGGGGGAGAAUGUAACGGGACGAAUUAUUGAGUUAUGAUUCUGGGGACAGAAUCCUUUUAAGAGGGGAAAGAUGUGACAACCGUAAUUUUAAAAAUUAAUUUUAAUAUUUAUUGGAUUGAAUAAAUAUUUUUCAAUGAAUUAAUUAUUAGAUUAAUUAAUUAAUUGAUGAAGUGGUGAUAGAUUAAUUUAAUUAUAUGUGUUAUAUUUAUUAAAUUAAUGAGGAGAAUUUUUAUUAUUCGAAGUAUGUGAUUAUGUGAGCUUAUUGAAUUAAAAGAAAUAUUUAAUAAACCUAUGUUAUUUUAAUUAAUUUAAUUAUUAAUUAGAGACUUAAUAAUUUGAUAUUAUUAAUCAAGAGAAUUUGAAUUAUGUUACUAUGUGUAUUAAUGAGAAUUUACUAUAUUUUAAUUAAAAUAAAUUAAUUUAGAUAAUUGAUUUAUUUUAUAUGGAUGUGACAUUACUUAAACUAUAUAAUAAAGCUUUAUUAAAUUAAAUGAUUUUUAAAACCUAUUCUAUCUAGCCAAACAUGGCACUAUGGGAAGUUAAGGGCAGAUACCCAUGACUGGGUAACUGACCACCAACGCGUCAGUUGAUUUCUAUAUUAUAUACGUCUUCCUUUCUUUUUCUUUCAUUUUUCUAAGUCUAAUAUUAAGCAGAGAGAGAUACAAGAGAGAGUUGAGAAUUCAGAGUUUUAGUGGUGGAGGAAUUCACUUCCUAGUAAAUUAAUCUACGCUUGGGUAAUCUCUUCAACCCAAUUUAUAUAUUUUACGUCUUUUAAAGUUUUCAUGAAUAUGGUUUUAUUCAUUCUGUAAUUCUCUGAAAUUGGGAAAUUCUGUUGUUAUGUGAAUAUAUGUAAUAAUUCGAAUUGUAAAGCAUGUUUUAUAUAUAUAUUGUGUGUUUCCAUAUCAUUAAUUUCAUAAGAUUACAACGUAUGAUUAUGGCUUGUUAUUUUAAAAUUUUGCAAGAGUACGUGAUAUGGCCAUAUGGCCUUAUACGUGAUUUUUAUAUGCCAAACAUAAAUUAUUUUACAAAAUUCACACAUUGAUAUGAUUAUGCAUGUUAAAAUGAACAAAAUUAAACUUGAAUGGUUGGAUUUGGCUUUAUAACGAACCCGUAGCAUUAAAAUCCAUGUUUUUGUUCAAGAACUUCAAGCACAUCAAGAACAGUCCAAUUUGCAUGCUUUAAUUAUAUGAUUAUGUGUUUUAAUAGGUGAAAAACACUCCAUAGAUGUUAAGUAUUGAUUAUGUACGAAUUAUAACAUAUGGGUAUGUGUAAUUUGGUGAAAUUAGUGUUAAGAAGUGUUGAUUUUGUUGAAUUAUGUGUUCUUUGCAAACUGGAAAUUCAGAGUCUAGGGUUUCGCGCCGCGGCGCCAACUCCCAGUUCAUUUCUCGCACCGCAGCACCACCGUGCCGCAGCGCCAAGUAUCAGGCCGUGGUGCCACGGCGCCGCAGCGCCAAGACUCAGUACAAAAGUGGCGCCGCAGCGCCACUUAGCAGAAUGGUCAUAAAUGAGUUUUUAAAAGUGUACAAGUAUGGAAAUAUGAUAGCAACUUAGUCUAAUGAUUAUAAAAACUUGUUAGACUUAUAAUGAGAUGUUAAAAUAAAUUCUUAACAUGUCCAUAACACAAUUACGUGUGGAUUGAAUGAUCGAAUGCAUAAUUAGUUUAUUUUUCGUGAAGUCUUAAUUUUACACUAAGUGUAAUAAUUGACUAAGUAUAGUCAUGAAUUCGAGUUAAACAAAGAGUAAAGUUAUGAUGUUAGUACGUUAUUAUUGACUGGUAUUGUGAACGUAAUUGGUAUGUAGGAUUUAAUUCAAAGAACGAGUUUGUUUAAGUGUAAUCUACGCACGAGGCAAGUUUCUAAACCUUAUCUUGUUACAUUGAGCAAGUUUUCUAACUCUACAUUUACGUUGAGCAAGUUUCUUACCCUAAACUUUCGUUGAGCAAGUUUCCUAACCCUACUUGUUAUCGUUAUAUAAGUUGAUUAAUUCAUCUUUCGAUAUUGAGCAAGUUCUCAUUAUUAUUGAUCAAGCCUGUCUUGUAUAUUAAAGUUUAUUAAUCUUCAAGCAUGAUGUUGUUAUACAAUAAUUAUUCUAUUGUAUACCUUUUGAGAUGUUAUUCAAGUUAAAUAUUCAUUUACUGUUAAACCUUGUUAGACUAGCGAACCCUUAUUGAUUCGACUAGUCCAUAGUUGAUGAGCGUUCUAAAUUUCAGAACCCCUUGAUGAAUUAUCCAAACCAAACUUCCUUUGGUGCGGACUCGAAUGUCAAACUGAGAUGAACAACCCUGUAUAGGGGAUUAUUUACGCUUUAGCGUUAAGAUAUUGUGCACAGUAUGGUACUAAGGGCUGAUCCCCCUAAGUACGAGAAGAAGAGUCCAUAGUCUUAUGACUGUUAAAGGUUUCAAGUAAAAACACUUGACAACCUAGGACAUAGUUCAAGGUCUUAUGACCCUCAGAAUUUCUUUUGAUUCUUGUUAUUCAUUCUUGAUUCAAAAGUUGAGCUUUAUAUCAGAAGUUAUUAUUUCUCUCGCAUGUUAUUAUUCAUUGUUAUAUUGUUAUACUUGUGGGCAAUCGUGCUCACUCUUGCGUAAUAAUAACAUUGCAGUUAAGAACGAAAGAGCAGACGAACCUUCCACUAGUAAGGGCAAGGGCAAGCUUAGCAAGUAAUGAAGACUGUUUUAUUAUUGUGGUUAUGUGAUGUAAUUAGAAUUGAUGUUACUAAGACUUAUUUGUUUAUGUUUUCCGCACAGAUGUUUUAAGGUUAGAGUAACCUGGGAUUUAUUUAUUAUUCAAUUGAUGUAACCCCAUAAGGGGAGAGAUUUAUUAUUUAUUUUAUCUAUUGCAUGGUUUGAAAUUUAUUUAUGGGUAGAUAAAUAGAUGAUGCUUGUACAGUGAACACCAAAUCCUGUAGAAAUAGAAUUACCGGAUUUGGGGGUGUCACACCAUUUCCUGACUAGUCCCACCAAUAUUAUCAUUUCCUGAAGAGAACAUUGAAAGAAAAUGGUGAGCUCAACUAGCCAGUAAAGAAUAUUAUGACUAAAAUAAUGUAGAAUAAAUUAUCAUUAGUCUUCAACAGUAUAAAAACUGAUAGAAUACAAUAGACAACAAGUUUAACUAUAGCGGAACACGCAAUCCAUUAGAAGAGUCAAGUAGAGUAUGAUGUCUACUAUCUUCUAUGGUUUAAAAGUUCAUCAUCAAUGUUUUAUCUCUGUAACAUAACUCAAUAAAUAAUCCACAUCAUCAAAUUAUUCAUGCACUACGGGCCAAGGAUAUUCGUUAGUAUCACAUCCACGAAUUAUCCAUGCACUAUGGGCCAAGGAUAUUCGUUAGUAUAUCAACAUCAUUGAAUUAUCCAUGCAUGAUCAUGCCAAACAACUGUCUAUCAAUGCACUACGGGCCAAUGAGGAUUUUUACCAUAUCAUUUGUAACAUUACAUAUCAUGAUUAUACCGAUACAUAAUUCCUAGUCAUAAUCAUACCGAUCAAUCGUCCAUCUAUGCACUACGGGCCAAAAAUGACUUUUAUCAUAAUUUAAGCAUGAGGAUGAUGACAAUGAUAUAAGAAUUCAAUUAAGUGAGAGCAAUGAUAAAUUUUAAAGAUUUAUAAUUCAAUUUAUCCAAAGUUUAAGAAUAUCCAAAUUAUCAACAUGAUAACUACUUUGUGGAGUACAAUUUAAGAAUAAUAUUCAUGUAUCAAAAAUAAUUUAGACAGAAAAGAAAUCAAUUUUUGUCGUGAAUAGUACCCGAGAGAAUAGUACCCUGUGAAUAAUACUCUGUGAAUAGUACCUCGUGAAUAGUACCGUAUGUUGGAAUAGUUUUGUAUGUAUGAAUAGUACCCAUAAAUAGUACUCCGGCAUAAAAAGAUUAAAAUUUAACAAGAAUGUUCACAAAAACAUUUUAGUGAAAUGAUACUAGAUGAAGCGCAAAUUUUAAGGAUAUUCUACUAAUUUCAAGGAGUAUAAAAGCAAUACUUAUCAAAGUAAGUGUAGAAUUAGGAAUAUGAAAUAAAAUAUAUUACUUACAUACUACAGAGUAUGGAAGAAAAUAUUAUUUCUUACGAAUAUUGAACAAAAAUAAUAUUCCUUACGGAUAUUGAACGAAAAUAAUAUUCCUUACGAAUAUUGAACGAAUAUAAUAUCUCUUACGAAUAUUGAACGAAAAUAAUAUUCCUUACGAAUAUUAAACGAGAAUAAUAUUUCUUACAAAUACGAAAAAUAAUAUCUCUUACGAAUAUGAAAUAAAUAAUACCCUUUACCUUGAAAAGAAAGUAAUUUUGACUGGUAUAUCGGAGAUAUUCUUGAAGAAAACUUGCACUAUUUGCCACACUUAAAGUUUCUUUAAACUCAAAAGAAAUACGCUCAAUAUUAUAAAAGAAGAAUUCUCUGAUUCUGGUGUGAUUUUCAUUUCUAAACUAAGCAUCCUAUUUAAAGGAGGAUGGCAGGGAACUAUUUAAGAAAAAUCACGGGUAAACAAUACAAUCACGGGCGAAAAAUUUGAGAAUUCACGGAUGAAUUUUCUGAUUUUACUAUGCAGCACUAUGAUGCACUAUGCAAAUACUAUGCAAUACAAUACAAACACUAUACAGUACUAUGCAACACUAUGAAAUACUAUGCAAAUACUGCAUAUAAAACAAAAACUGAGAUAACUUUCUAUUGACGAUUUUAAAAAAUGAGUAAGUGGGGUUGCAUGUAAUAAGCCAAAUUUAUAAUAAAUACCUCAUGACAAACCCCUUUUUAUUUAUCACAAUUCACUUGACUAAUCACAUUUUUAAUCUUUUAACAUUUAUUCAUCAUUAAUAUUAUAACUCACAAUAUUAACAACCAGAUCAUUCCCAGGAAAGAGGAGGCUUUCCGAUAAGGACUUCUCCUUAUUGACGUGCAAUUAAAUAACCUAACCUCUUUCCUCGAUAGAACUUUCUAGACAUUGUCAAUAAUGCAAAUAAUAAUAUGAAUAACAUUUGUCAUCUCAAUUAUUGAUUUAAUAAUAUAAAAUAUUGUGCAGAUGAUACUGUGACAAUAAUUGAAUCAAUAAUAUGAGAUACUAUGCAUCAACUACUGUUGCAAUAAUUGAAUAAAACAGUGACUUCUCACGUAAGCAUCAGUAAUCAAAGAUAUUAUUAUACAAUACUAUGUGCUACUAUGCCAGUUGGUUGAAAUUAAGACCAAGCCUUUGGUAAAUUGGACCAAGAAUGAAUUGAAAAAUAACAAACUGAAAAGGUUAUUUCUGGCAUGCAUAAAGGUUUCCUACUUUCCUCAAAAUGAGACAAUCUUUCAAGGGUUCAAGUAUAUGCUAGUUAGUCUAAUUGAAGGUUAGGCCUCUUUUUGUCAUUCCACCAAACAUCUAAUGUGCAAAUAUUAUCUAAUCUUAAGAUUUUACCAUCUAACUGGACAGUCCACUCCAUCUGAUCUAUCAUAUACAAAAAAAUUAAAUAAAAAACAAACUCUAAAAUUUUGUAUCUAAAACAACAUAUUCGCCUCUGUUACAUAAUGACGGUCUCCAUUCAAAAGCAAAAGCUUGAACGAAUUAUGAAUGUAUCAUCACAUACACACACUCAAUCAUGUUUCAUAUCAAUCAAUUAUUGCAUCCAAAACAUGCAAACAGAAGAAAUAGAAAAAUCAAUUGCUCAACAUGUGAUCACCAUUUCUAUCAAAUUCUCCAGACAGUAAAAUUUAGCUCAUAGUAUUAAAAAUCUACCAAGAAAAAAGUACCAACAGCUAAUACCUGGUAGAAAAUCCAUACAAUUUUUUUAAAAAUUGAACUUUCUUAGGAGAGAGAAAUUCAAAAAACUGCAAGACAAAUUAAAUUUUAAGAAAUACACACUUGGAAUAAUCUGGCAAUCUCAACUGGGUUUGAUCCCUUUCCAAGAAAUUCAACUGGGAACCAAAAAUCUGCUUAAAAUAUCAAGAAAUAAUGAGCAUAUGUACAUAAAAUUGUGUGAGCUUUCGUGUAAAGAGAGACAAAAAAAGAUUACUAAUAAUUUUGUAGCUAAAUUUUUGGGUAGUUCUGUGGACGAAUUGAGUAAAGAUGAAUAUCGAAGGUCCACAUUUGCCAUUAUUGUAUAAAGAUCUAGACUUUUUUCUGUGUGGUGUAAAAUGAAUGAAGAGAAAAGGUAAAAACAAAACAAAGUUACAAUCUAAUCAAAACUUAGUAAAAUCAAAAUGAAAAGACUUAUCUUUGGAUUGAUAUUUCUUUUGAAAAGAAUUGAUUGAAUCACAGUAGACAUAUCAAGAAUGUGUUUUACAAAAAUCAUAACUUUUGUAGAAGAAAUUAAGAUCAGAAGCUUAUAAAAAGAAAACAAAAAACUUACAAUUGAAUCUAAAAUUAGCAAAUUAAAAAGGAAAAGAAUUUUCUUUGGAUGGAUCUUUUGAAAGAUAAUUAAUUGAAUCAAGAAUAUGUUUAUGAAUGAACAUGUUAAAAAAAUGUGUAUAUAUAUAUAUAUAUAUAUAUAUAUAUAUAUAUAUACCUUGUUGACGAAUUCGAUCUGAUCUUUAACAGUCAUAGAGGAAACCUAAUUUAAAGUCAAACAGGGGAAUGCGAUGGUGGAUCUAAAUAAGGAAGAGGAGGUCACCUCAAGUAUAAAAACUACAAUGACAUCACUUUGGAGAUAUACGGAACAUACCUUUAAUGAGUGAAGAUUGAUUGGAGACGAUUUGAGGGGAGGAGAAUGAGAUCAAAC